AACGAACGCUGGCGGCAGGCUUAACACAUGCAAGUCGAACGAGAUCUUCGGAUCUAGUGGCAGACGGGUGAGGAACACGUGGAACAUCCCUUUCAGUUCGGAAUAACGUUGGGAAACUAACGCUAAUACCGGAUACGUCCUUCGGGAGAAAGAUUUAUCGCUGAAAGAUUGGCCCGCGUCUGAUUAGCUAGUUGGUGAGGUAACGGCUCACCAAGGCUACGAUCAGUAGCUGAUCUGAGAGGAUGAUCAGCCACAUUGGGACUGAGACACGGCCAAACUCCUACGGGGGGCAGCAGUGGGGAAUAUUGGACAAUGGGCGCAAGCCUGAUCCAGCCAUGCCGCGUGAGUGAUGACGGCCUUCGGGUUGUAAAGCUCUUUUGUCCGGGAAGAUAAUGACUGUACCGGAAGAAUAAGCCCCGGCAUACUUCGUGCCAGCCGCCGCAGUAA
rnacentral:rRNA from 1 species